rnacentral:rRNA from 1 species
GACGAACGCUGGCGGCGUGCUUAACACAUGCAAGUCGAACGGAAAGGCCCUGCUUUUGUGGGGUGCUCGAGUGGCGAACGGGUGAGUAACACGUGAGUAACAUGCCCUUGACUUUGGGAUAACUUCAGGAAACUGGGGCUAAUAUCGGAUAGGAGCUCCUGCUGCAUGGUGGGGGUUGGAAAGUUUCGGCGGUUGGGGAUGGACUCGCGGCUUAUCAGCUUGUUGGUGGGGUAGUGGCUUACAAAGGCUUUGACGGGUAGCCGGCCUGAGAGGGUGACCGGCCACAUGGGGCCUGAGAUACGGCCCAGACUCCUACGGGAGGCAGCAGUGGGGAAUAUGGCACAGUGGGCGGAAGCCUGAUGCAGCAACGCCGCGUGCGGGAUGACGGCCUUCGGGUUGUAAACCGCUGUCGCCUGUGACGAAGCGUUAGUGACGGUAAUGGGUAAAAAAGCACCGGCUAACUACGUG